CAAAUAACCAAGAACAGGGAGCUGAAUGUGAGAGGCAGGCUCCAAAGGAUUCAGCCACCAAGGUGGAGAAAAAAAUAUACAUUUUCUAGAGCCCAAUCUGCCAGGAGAGAUCUAAGAGAUUACAAUGGAAAAACUUAAAAUUCUGAGGACAGAGAAAAGAAAGAGGAAGAGUUAAUGACUAGUGAGACACCAUCAUGUAGACUGGUGCCACACGGAAUCUGGGGCAACAGAACAUGAUCUGUCCAGAUGGUCAUACAGUGAAAGCUGGUGCAGGGAAGCACCUUAAGCUGUAUAAUUGCAAUAAGUUUUGCUCACCAGUG